rnacentral:lncRNA from 1 species
CAUACCUGUAUAUGUGUAUGUGAUAUGUAUAUAUAUCAACUGUAUAGUUAAAACACCAUAUGUAUAGAAGAGACCAUCUGACUAGUAUUUAAGCUUAGCCAUGAGAAUGGAAUUUGGAAGAUGAAGAAUGUGACCUGGAGGAAAGAAGAAAAUGAUUACAGAGGGGCAUUUGAGAGUGAGAGGAUAGAGAAGAGAGAAAGAGGUUGAGGAAAGAAGAUAUCAGAGUCCCCUCACUGCCCUCCCCAUUAACACACUCAAGGCUAAGCUAGUGAGGGGAGAGUAUCUUUGGGAUACUGGACAAAAUAUGGAAUUCCAAGAACCAGGAAGCUUUUGUCUUAUUCUAAAAGGACAUAACUUGCAGGCUGUCUCCAGAUCAAUUGAGUGGUAGAUCCAUAUUACAAAUAAACAUGAUAGCAGAGUGUGAUUAGGCAGAAGAAGGUGCAUCUCAGCACCUCCUUCUGUGUAAUGUGGAAAUGAGCAGCUAUUGUAGUGGGAAUGAGCAACUCCACAGUAAAGGCAUUAGGCUGUGCCAUCUGGGCAGUGGAUGACACAGAUAUCAGUGUGUGGCUGGGGUCUGAAGCCUGUUCAGUGUCAAGAUGAGCCUAAGUCAUCCAGAAAGGCUGAUGAAGUCAGCAAAAGUCAGCCAGACAAAGGGCACUGUCAAGGCCAUCAUAUGGAUCUAAGCAUCCCUUUUCCCACCUCCUCAAGAGCACCAAGAAAGACACAAACAUCCAUUGCCAAUUUCCUUCUCCUUGCCAGUAGGGAGGCUGAAAAAAAAAACACAUACUCUCUUUCUAUUAAUAUAUCUUCCUUAUAGAGUAGGAUGGAUAUUUGGCUAAGUAUUGAUCAAUAAGAUAAAGUGGAAUUUGCUGGGUGGCAGGCGGGGGUCCUUUGUGUAAUAAUUUUGUGUCUUGAUAAGGUAGGAAUAUGGCUGGGACCAUCCCUGACUCUCUUUUUUCCUUGAAUGUGAACACAUGAGUGAAGCAUACAUCCAUUGUCCAUGGAGCAAGAAACAUGAGGAUGAAAAGCCAAUAUGUUAAGGACAUGAAGUGAAAAGUGGGAAGAGCUUCUUAUUCAUGUUAUCACUGAGCAGCGGGAACUGGGGGCUCUGCUCAUUAUAGUUGCCCACGGCCUCCAGUCAAUGAAAUUUCCGGCCAAUGAAAUGCUCUACUGUGACUGAAGCAGCAAAGGGAAGAUGGGUGGCUUUGAAAUCAGAAUUGGAUGCAGAGGGAGUCCCAGAGGCCAACACUGUGAACAUAAGAAGGGAAAGACCAGUUCUGCAAGCACAGAUGAAAUUUUGAGAAGCAGAGCUACAGGU